rnacentral:rRNA from 1 species
GGGCUUGCCUUUAUCGUCAGUGGCAGACGGGUGAGUAACGCGUGGGAACGUACCCUUAGGUUUGGGAUAACGACUGGAAACGGUCGCUAAUACCGAAUGAUCCUGAGAAGGCAAAGAUUUAUCGCCUAAGGAGCGGCCCGCGUCAGAUUAGGUAGUUGGUGGGGUAACGGCUUACCAAGCCAGAGAUCUGUAGCUGGUCUGAGAGGAUGAUCAGCCACACUGGGACUGAGACACGGCCCAGACUCCUACGGGAGGCAGCAGUGGGGAAUAUUGGACAAUGGGGGCAACCCUGAUCCAGCAAUGCCGCGUGAGUGAAGAAGGCCUUCGGGUUGUAAAGCUCUUUUGUUAGGGACGAUAAUGACGGUACCUAACGAAUAAGCCCCGGCUAACUUCGUGCCAGCAGCCGCGGUAAUACGAAGGGGGCUAGCGUUGUUCGGAAUUACUGGGCGUAAAGGGCGCGUAGGCGGCCAUGUGCGUCAAGUGUGAAAUCCCUGGGCUUAACCUAGGAAUUGCACUUGAU